GUUUGAUCUCAAAUCAGGUAGGACUACCCGCUGAACUUAAGCAUAUCAAUAAGCGGAGGAAAAGAAACUAACAAGGAUUCCCCUAGUAACUGCGAGUGAAGCGGGAUGAGCUCAAAUUUAAAAUCUGACGGCCUCUGGUCGUCCGAGUUGUAGUCUGGAGAAGCGUUUUCCGUGUUGGACCGUGUACAAGUCUCUUGGAACAGGGCGUCAUAGAGGGUGAGAAUCCCGUCUUUGACACGGACUACCAAUGCUUUGUGAUGCGCUCUCAAAGAGUCGAGUUGUUUGGGAAUGCAGCUCAAAAUGGGUGGUAAAUUCCAUCUAAAGCUAAAUAUAGGCGAGAGACCGAUAGCGAACAAGUACCGUGAGGGAAAGAUGAAAAGCACUUUGGAAAGAGAGUUAAACAGUACGUGAAAUUGCUGAAAGGGAAACGCUUGAAGUCAGUCACGUCUGCCAGGACUCAGCCUUGCUUCUGCUUGGUGUACUUUCUGGUCUGAUGGGCCAACAUCAAUUUUGACCGUUGGAGAAAGGCUUUGGGAACGUGGCACCUUCGGGUGUGUUAUAGCCCAUUGUUGUAUACGACGGUNGGGAUUGAGGACU
rnacentral:rRNA from 1 species